CACGUAGGGGGCGAGCGUUGUCCGGAUUUAUUGGGCGUAAAGAGCUCGUAGGCGGCUCAGUAAGUCAGGUGUGAAAACUCCAGGCUCAACCUGGAGACGCCACUUGAUACUGCUGUGGCUAGAGUCCGGUAGGGGAGCAUGGAAUUCCUGGUGUAGCGGUGAAAUGCGCAGAUAUCAGGAGGAACACCUAUUGCGAAGGCAGCUCGCUGGGACGUAACUGACGCUGAGACGCGAAAGCGUGGGGAGCAAACAGG
rnacentral:rRNA from 1 species